GCGGCGUGCUUAACACAUGCAAGUCGAACGGAAAGGCCCUGCUUUUGUGGGGUGCUCGAGUGGCGAACGGGUGAGUAACACGUGAGUAACCUGCCCUUGACUUUGGGAUAACUUCAGGAAACUGGGGCUAAUACCGGAUAGGAGCUCCUGCUGCAUGGUGGGGGUUGGAAAGUUUCGGCGGUUGGGGAUGGACUCGCGGCUUAUCAGCUUGUUGGUGGGGUAGUGGCUUACCAAGGCUUUGACGGGUAGCCGGCCUGAGAGGGUGACCGGCCACAUUGGGACUGAGAUACGGCCCAGACUCCUACGGGAGGCAGCAGUGGGGAAUAUUGCACAAUGGGCGGAAGCCUGAUGCAGCAACGCCGCGUGCGGGAUGACGGCCUUCGGGUUGUAAACCGCUUUCGCCUGUGACGAAGCGUGAGUGACGGUAAUGGGUAAAGAAGCGCCGGCUAACUACGUGCCAGCAGCCGCGGUGAUACGUAGGGUGCGAGCGUUGUCCGGAUUUAUUGGGCGUAAAGGGCUCGUAGGUGGUUGAUCGCGUCGGAAGUGUAAUCUUGGGGCUUAACCCUGAGCGUGCUUUCGAUACGGGUUGACUUGAGGAAGGUAGGGGAGAAUGGAAUUCCUGGUGGAGCGGUGGAAUGCGCAGAUAUCAGGAGGAACACCAGUGGCGAAGGCGGUUCUCUGGGCCUUUCCUGACGCUGAGGAGCGAAAGCGUGGGGAGCGAACAGGCUUAGAUACCCUGGUAGUCCACGCUGUAAACGGUGGGUACUAGGUGUGGGGUCCAUUCCACGGGUUCCGUGCCGUAGCUAACGCUUUAAGUACCCCGCCUGGGGAGUACGGCCGCAAGGCUAAAACUCAAAGGAAUUGACGGGGCCCCGCACAAGCGGCGGAGCAUGCGGAUUAAUUCGAUGCAACGCGUAGAACCUUACCUGGGUUUGACAUGGAUCGGGAGUGCUCAGAGAUGGGUGUGCCUCUUUUGGGGUCGGUUCACAGGUGGUGCAUGGCUGUCGUCAGCUCGUGUCGUGAGAUGUUGGGUUAAGUCCCGCAACGAGCGCAACCCUUGUUCACUGUUGCCAGCACGUUAUGGUGGGGACUCAGUGGAGACCGCCGGGGUCAACUCGGAGGAAGGUGGGGAUGACGUCAAGUCAUCAUGCCCCUUAUGUCCAGGGCUUCACGCAUGCUACAAUGGCUGGUACAGAGAGUGGCGAGCCUGUGAGGGUGAGCGAAUCUCGGAAAGCCGGUCUCAGUUCGGAUUGGGGUCUGCAACUCGACCUCAUGAAGUCGGAGUCGCUAGUAAUCGCAGAUCAGCAACGCUGCGGUGAAUACGUUCCCGGGGCUUGUACACACCGCCCGUCAAGUCAUGAAAGUUGGUAACACCCGAAGCCGGUGGCCUAACCGUUGUGGGGGAGCCGUCGAAGGUGGGACUGGUGAUUAGG
rnacentral:rRNA from 1 species